UUGCACAGCACUGAGCAAGGAGAGAGGGCAGCUAACGCUCAAAUCCCAAACUCCCCGAAAAGCUAAAAGGAAGGGAUUUUAUUUGGGGUUUUAGGUAGGGGAGGGGGAGCAUAUGCCCUUGCUGGUCGGAGCUUUCCCACCAGCCUGUCUUUGGCCUUGAGACUACUUGCAGAGAGGAGGGAGCCCAUGACCUUGCUGGUCAGCAGCUUUCCCACCAGCCUGUAUCUCUUUGCGGGAGGAGAUAGUCCAGUUGCUUGUCCUUGACGGUGUCUGUCUCCAUGGAGGAUGGUCGAUUCUGGAGCCAGAAAGCCAGAGACUGGUUUUGAAAGUCCUGUCACCUCACCGAGCGUGUGGGCAUCCACAGUCUCUUGAUAAUGCUGCCUUGCGCUGUUCACCUGCUCGCGACUUCUCUUCUUCGACCUUCAUAUUUGACCACGUUUUGGGCUAGGCUGUUUGUCUCUGCAGCUAAUCCCACUAAUACAACUUAAAGAAGCCCAGGAAUGAGAUAGAGGUGAAAAUCUCUAAACAGCGUUGGCAGCAAACAGGAAGCAGCACCAGAGGAGAGCCGGAAUCUCACAAAAAGGAACAGUGUGGGUGAGAACAAAACAGCAGCAACAACAAGCCGUCUCUUAUCAGAAGAGCGCUGAAUCCAUCAACAUGAAUUAACCAUAUUUCACUCCAAGGGAGAUGAAGCAGAGUCUUGUUUCUCUAGACAUUAAAAAAAAU
rnacentral:lncRNA from 1 species